GAAGAAAUGGCGGAGAUAGGAAUAGUUACUCUUGCAUCACACCAUACAAGUGGGUGGAAGGUUGACACUCCACUUCCAAGUCGUUUUACGGUUAAAAUUGAGUCUGGAGAGUUGGAAUUUCGUAGCAGACCUCACGAAAGGGAUAUAGGCAAGAAUGUCAUCUAUGGCAAGAAGUGGAGCUCUUUUGUUGAAUCAAAUUUGGAAGCAGUGGUUACUCUUUAUGCCAGACAACAGGGUGAGAACUUCCA
rnacentral:lncRNA from 1 species